GACGACCGCUGGCGGCGUGCCUAAUACAUGCAAGUCGAGCGAAUCGGCGGAUGGGUGAGUAACGCGUGGGUAACCUGCCCUUAAGUCUGGGAUACCAUUUGGAAACAGAUGCUAAUACCGGAUACUAAAGGAUUGACCUGCGAUGAAUUAGCUAUUUGGUAAGUUAACGGCUUACCAAGGCGAUGAUGCAUAGCCGGGUUGAGAGACUGAUCGGCAACAUUGGGACUGAGACACGGCCCAAACUCCUACGGGAGGCAGCAGUAGGGAAUAUUGCACAAUGGGCGCAAGCCUGAGGCAGCCAGGCCGCGUGUAUGAAGAAGGCCUUCGGGUUGUAAAGUACUUUCAGCGAGGAGGCGUUACUCGCAGAAGAAGCAUCGGCUAACUCCGUGCCAGCAGCCGCGGUAAUAC
rnacentral:rRNA from 1 species